rnacentral:rRNA from 1 species
UUUGAAAUCUGGCCCCUUUGGGGUCCGAGUUGUAAUUUGCAGAGGGUGCUUUUGGUGUUGGCCGUGGUCUAAGUUCCUUGGAACAGGACGUCACAGAGGGUGAGAAUCCCGUACGUGGCCGCCGGCCCUCGCCUUGUAAAGCCCCUUCGACGAGUCGAGUUGUUUGGGAAUGCAGCUCUAAAUGGGAGGUAAAUUUCUUCUAAAGCUAAAUACCCGCCAGAGACCGAUAGCGCACAAGUAGAGUGAUCGAAAGAUGAAAAGCACUUUGGAAAGAGAGUGAAAAAGCACGUGAAAUUGUUGAAAGGGAAGCGCUUGCGGCCAGACGUGCCCGCGGUUGUUCAUCUGGGCUCUCGCCCGGUGCACUCCUCCGCGGGCAGGCCAGCAUCAGUUUGGGCGGUCGGACAAAGGUCUCUAUCACGUACCACCCCUCGGGGUGGCCUUAUAGGGGAGACGCAACACGGCCAGCCUGGACUGAGGUUCCGCGCAUCUGCUAGGAUGCUGGCGUAAUGGCAGCAAGCGGCCCGUCUUGAAACACGGACCAAGGAGUCUAACAUCUAUGCGAGUGUUUGGGUGUCAAGCCCGAGCGCGUAAUGAAAGUGAACGGAGGUGGGAACCCCUCGGGGCGCACCAUCGACCGAUCCUGAUGUCUUCGGAUGGAUUUGAGUAAGAGCAUAGCUGUUGGGACCCGAAAGAUGGUGAACUAUGCCUGAAUAGGGUGAAGCCAGAGGAAACUCUGGUGGAGGCUCGCAGCGGUUCUGACGUGCAAAUCGAUCGUCAAAUUUGGGCAUAGGGGCGAAAGACUAAUCGAACCAUCUAGUAGCUGGUUCCUGCC